rnacentral:rRNA from 1 species
GACAGAGGUCCCGAGCGUUAGGCGGAAUCACUGGGCGUUAAAGCGUGUGUAGGCGGAUUGGUAAGUACCUUGUGAAUCCCACGGCUUAACCGUGGAACUGCUUGGUAUACUGCUUAUCUUGGGCCACUUAGGGGUUACCGGAACAAACGGUGGAGCGGUGAAAUGCGUAGAUAUCGUUUGGAACGCCAAUGGUGAAACAGGUAACUGGGAGUGUGCCGACGCUGAGACACGAAGCCAGGGAGCGAACGGGAU